rnacentral:rRNA from 2 species
CGGAGGAAAAGAAACCAACAGGGAUUGCCCUAGUAACGGCGAGUGAAGCGGCAACAGCUCAAAUUUGAAAUCUGGCCUCGGCCCGAGUUGUAAUUUGUAGAGGAAGCUUUAGGCGCGGCACCUUCUGAGUCCCCUGGAACGGGGCGCCACAGAGGGUGAGAGCCCCGUAUAGUUGGAUGCCUAGCCUGUGUAAAGCUCCUUCGACGAGUCGAGUAGUUUGGGAAUGCUGCUCAAAAUGGGAGGUAAAUUUCUUCUAAAGCUAAAUACCGGCCAGAGACCGAUAGCGCACAAGUAGAGUGAUCGAAAGAUGAAAAGCACUUUGAAAAGAGGGUUAAAUAGCACGUGAAAUUGUUGAAAGGGAAGCGCUUGUGACCAGACUUGCGCCGGGCGGAUCAUCCGGUGUUCUCACCGGUGCACUCCGCCCGGCUCAGGCCAGCAUCGGUUCUCGCGGGGGGAUAAAGGCCCCGGGAACGUAGCUCCUCCGGGAGUGUUAUAGCCCGGGGCGUAAUGUCCUCGCGGGGACCGAGGACCGCGCAUCUGCAAGGAUGCUGGCGUAAUGGUCACCAGCGACCCGUCUUGAAACACGGA